UUUCUCUGCUCUCUUGCGUUCCUUCAUUUCUUUGAUGUCUUUAGCGGUUGGUUGGAAACCCAAACCGAAUGAAUCCUUUUUCUCCACAAUUUCCACUGGUUUCAGAAUUCCUUGUAGAUCACGUCCCAGCCCUUUGUCAAACUCAUAUCCUCCGCGGAUCAUUUCCUUAGCCAUCAUGACACUGGCCUUUGACAGAGCUCGUUCCUCUUUUGUUAUCCAACUUACGGAGACGAUAUCAGCUAUGCUAUGAGGGGUCACUGUGGCGUUUCGG
rnacentral:lncRNA from 1 species